AUUAAAGCGAUGAAGGGAACCAAUUGUAGUUCUUCUAUCCCUGUUUAAAGAGAGCCAGGCGGUGGUGGGAGCCGGCACAAAUAGAAGAGUGAAUUACAUCCUCGAGCUUUCUCUGUGAAUAUUAUUAUUAGUAGCAGUGAACGGUGAUAACCGUUAUUUUUUUUAAGUUGGAGGAUUAUGUUCUCAAGCUGGGUGGUACCGCGUUAAAAUAACGUCCCUGCA
rnacentral:ncRNA from 1 species